GUUUAAUUGCUGUGGAUAACCAUCGAUCAUUGCUGGGCUGCCCCUGGGACGGUGGACUUUGAGAGAGGAGAAAACAAGCCCAGGCAGAGCAUCCUGCCCCUGGUCAUUGAUGGUAGAGGUGGUUCAGAGGAACACAUGCUGGUCCAAGACUGGGUGCUACUGUAACCUGGCCGUCUUCCACCUGAAGUCCAGCCCAGUGCCUACUGCUCUGCUUUCUGCUUAUGGGUUGUUCAGUGCCGCAGCCUGCCUGCCUUGGCUUUUCAAGUGUCAUCUGUUCCUGUAUUCCCCAGAUCCCAGCUCUGCCCGCCACAUCAGGAAGUCCACCCUCUUACAGCCUGAUGAGCCCCUCGGAGGCUGGAGACUGCCCUACCUUCGAUACUGUACCCCACACCUUCAGCUGGAUCUCUUCCAGACCUGGCCUCUGUCCCGGUGGUAGUUUCAUGCCACAUCCAUCUGUUCCCACUACAUGCCCCUUCCAUGCCCCAGGAAUUCAGAGACCAAGUAAAAAAUGAGCAUUCCUAGCGACCAUAAUUAGAUUCCAAAGAUGAGAAAGGAGUUUUUAAGUAAAUGCCAACCAUCUCCAUAUAAAAAAAGAAAACUUUUUAAUCGAUUGUUGGGGGGAGCUGUUAAUGAGCUAACCACUUUUAAUUCAAUAUUUGACAGUAAUUGCAACAGAAUUACAUUUAACAAGACAAGAACCUCUAUGGGUUUUUAGCAGUCAAAUGAGGUACAGAAUGGUUCUUUUCAAGGAACUGAAAUAUAAUCAAAGGAGCCUUCAUGCCUGUUGCUGAGUCUGAGUGACAAGACUACCA
rnacentral:lncRNA from 1 species